GAAUGUCACCCCUUCCAGCCUCACUUUAUUCGUAGGUAAAAUGGGGAUGGAGAGGAUUCCUGCCUUUUAAGUCAGCUGUGAGGAUUACACAAAACAACGCAUAUAAAACCCUUAAAGGCGUGUGACACAUAUUGUGUCUUGAAAAUUUUUAACCGGCGUCAUUGAUUUGAGAUGGUCCUCUGUUGCACCAGUCACUGAUUUCUGCUUCGUAUGUCCUCAGUGUGAAGUCCUCUCUGCCCCUGAUUACCAGCUCCUCCUCGAGGUGGGAGAUCGGCCGGCUGGUCACUGUAGUCCCCAGUGCCCAGCACAGGACUGGCCCUCCGCGCUUGGUAAUGUCCAAGGAAUGGAUCAAGCGCUAAUUUCUCUGGCACCGACUUCGAGUGCCGUAGGUCAGAGGUCAUAGGACCUGGUUUGGGUUCGGUUUAGCUUCAGCUGGAGGCCGCUGGGACAACUGGGCUUUGCUCUGUACUUCAAGAAAUGCAGGGCUGAGGUCCCACAGCUUCACGUGGUAGACGGUUUUAGUGUCUCAGUUCUCCAGCCAAGCUUGGUGAGUUCUUUCUUCUGUCUAACUGAAGUCUCUCGUGCUGCAUUUUAAGCUUCUGUCUCCAGUCUUCUUUGAGUGGACACAGAUAAGCUAGUCCCUGUGCCCUUCGUCACCGCUCAGUCCGCCUCAGAGAUGGCUCACGGACUCCUUGCUUCUCGCUCUGCCUCCUGGUCUGUUUUCCUGCCCCUCGCCCGGUGAAUUUUGAAUUCCAGAGACCACUCCAUGGUGGAGCUGCAAAUCUAGCUCUGUGCAGCAUCUUUUCUCAACAUGGCUGCAUGAAGGUGGAGAAAUAGUGGGCGAUGGAGAAGGGGGAUGAAGGGAGGGAUUUGUAAUGUGACACGGUUGUGGUCAGGGUCGCCUCCCCAUGAAUUUUUAUUUUCCGUCUGAGUGGAACUCAGCCUCCUGUGUUCAGGUGGCAUUGCGAAGGCCGUUGGGAGAGAGACCAACACCAGGAGCUCUUUCUAUGGCUCUGGCCAGAACUUCUGAGGGUGCUGGUUCCAUCCAUCGUCCUGACCUGACAUCGUCUUCCGUUGCAGAGUGAUCAUCACCAUGCUGGUGGCCACCGCAGUCUGCUGCUACCUCUUCUGGCUCAUCACCAUCCUGGCUCAGCUGAACCCCCUGUUCGGGCCACAGCUGAAGAACGAGACCAUCUGGUACGUGCGCUUCCUGUGGGAGUGACCACUGCCGCCUCGACCAGGUGCCCAGCUCUCUGGAUGACCUCGGCUCUGUCCCUGACGACUCCUUUGUCCCCACCCCCACAGCUGUGUCCUGGUCCCCCCAUGUUCCCUUCGCCAGGGCCCGCCUGGUUCCCGGAGGUACCCCCUUUCCCAACCAGCCCGGGCCCUGAGCUCAGAGUCAGGUUGGAGCGGGAGAGAUCCCACCCUCACGCUCCCCCUGUCCCCUGGCCGGGAGCUGCCUCUGCCAGUGGGGCAGCCCAAGGAAGGCCGGGUGUCCUGCGGAGAAGGUCAGUGGCCUAGGAGGCGCCUGGGCCCCGUCCUCCUGGUGACCCCAGGAAGCGCCCCUUCCUCCGUGAGGUGGAGGGGCUCCUCCGGGGGGUCAAAGGCCUUUCUCGAAAUUCUUCUCUAAUUUGUGACACAUUUAGAUGUGAAACUUCUGAAAAUGGUGAAUUAAUAGAAAAACAUUCACACACACAAAAAACAAGAGCAACUUAGUAACGUGGGUCAAGAUUGAGACUUACAUGUUUAGCGUCCUUCACAGUUAUAAAGUCACAUAAAGUGUCCUGUUUAGAAAGUCGUACCUCCUCAGAUUCUCCUGUUCCACUUUCGUCCCCUACCCGCCCCCCUGCCCCGUGAAUAAGCUCCCUGUCCCUGUCCCUGCCCCUGCGCCAGGCCUGAGCUCUGCCUCAUUCAGCCGCAGGAGGUGGAUUAGGGAGCCUAUCACAGCAGUGUCUAGGUCACCUGGAGCUGGGGAGGAUUCAGAGGGACAGGUGUAGGUGAGGUUUGGGUGGCACUGUGGGCUCCUAAGGCCAGCACCACCCCUGUCUGCCCGGAGCUGGCUGGGACGGUGAGGGGUGGGGGAGUGCCUGGCCUUACAAGGGCCGGGAGGCAGACCGUGCAGGCAGGGGUGCAGGCAAGGACCUGAGGGAUGAUCCUGGGACCCCCAGCUGCUGCCCUGACUUCUCCCGCAAGAGUUGAGGCUGAGACCUCAGUCGCUUGCCCUCAGUCCCAGAGCUACUGCUACAUUGCCUCCCCCUCCCACUUGGUUGGCAUCAUUUUUGGACCAGCGGUAGCAUUUCAUGCAUCUCGCCCAGAUUUCUUGGUCCUGGGUCAGCCUGUUGCUCAGAGCUCAGGUUGGGGCCUCCCUCUGACACCCCGCCCGCCCCUGUUUCAACUUCCUGUCCUGACCUCUGCAGCCUCCUGGAGUGGAGUGUCGAGUGUGGGUUAUACAGAAAAAACGACCCAUGUCUAGUGACUCGUGAGUGGCAGGACAUUACCGUUUGGUGGCAAAGCCCGGGCUGAGGCCAGGUUUGCUGGCUGCCUCCCCCUGCCUCCCAUUUCCUCAGGGCGGGGGAUUGGAUGGCAAGAAAGGGGACCGAUGGCUGCUUGGAGCUGCAGCUCUGGUAUGUGGACCCAGAGCUGCAUUUUCCUGAGACCUGAGGGAUGUCCCGCUGUCCUGGAUUCUGCCCGGAAGCAGGCCUGGCAGGAGGAUGGAGGCUGGUGCACGUGGACAUUCGAUCUCCUGUCGUCUGUGCCCCUGACUGCAGAACGAACAGCUCCUGGGCUGUGCAAUAAAGCAGGUCGCCAACCUC